GGCAUACAUCUAACAGGUCCUCCACUGGCUCUUCCCAUUCUUCGAUCAGUUUGUCACGGGUGUUUAGCCCUUCAAUAGGAAGAGUAUUAGGUAUUCUCACUCCCUAGAGGGCAAUUGUGUAGCAAUGUCGAGCUAGGGCUUGAUCUCCAUAGACCUCUUCGACCCCAUGCGUAGUCAGAAUCUUCAUUAGCAGACGGUAGGUUGAUACCACAACUUUAAGGGCAUUUGUUCCCAAUCGCCCAAGGAUAGUGUUGUAUGCUAAGGGUGCUCUGAUGACUAAGAAGUCAAUUUAGAUAGUAGUGUUAGGACUAUCAUGCACUUACAUGGACCUGAGGAGACCUAUGAUAAAGCCCUCUGCAAGAGUCCAUGGUGAUCCAGACUCUCUAAGGAUAGCAAACACCAUGCCCU
rnacentral:lncRNA from 1 species